rnacentral:rRNA from 1 species
UACAGAGGGGGCAAGCGUUAUUCGGAAUUAUUGGGCGUAAAGGGCGCGUAGGCGGCCUGGCAAGUGGAUGGUGAAAUCCCUCGGCUUAACCGAGGAACUGCCAUCCAGACUGCUUGGCUUGAGACCGGGAGAGGUGAGUGGAAUUCCCAGUGUAGCGGUGAAAUGCGUAGAUAUUGGGAGGAACACCAGUGGCGAAGGCGGCUCACUGGACCGGUACUGACGCUGAUGCGCGAAAGCGUGGGGAGCAAACAGG